rnacentral:rRNA from 1 species
GAUGAACGCUAGCUACAGGCUUAACACAUGCAAGUCGAGGGGAAACGAUAGAGAAAGCUUGCUUUUUCUAGGCGUCGACCGGCGCACGGGUGAGUAACGCGUAUCCAACCUGCCCAUCACUUGGGGAUAACCUUGCGAAAGUAAGACUAAUACCCAAUGAUAUCUCUAGAAGACAUCUGAAGGAGAUUAAAGAUUUAUCGGUGAAGGAUGGGGAUGCGUCUGAUUAGCUUGUUGGCGGGGUAACGGCCCACCGAGGCGACGAUCAGUAGGGGUUCUGAGAGGAAGGUCCCCCACAUUGGAACUGAGACACGGUCCAAACUCCUACGGGAAGCAGCAGUGAGGAAUAUUGGUCAAUGGACGAGAGUCUGAACCAGCCAAGUAGCGUGCAGGAUGACGGCCCUAUGGGUUGUAAACUGCUUUUAUAAGGGAAUAAAGUGAGUCUCGUGAGACUUUUUGCAUGUACCUUAUGAAUAAGGACCGGCUAAUUCCGUGCCAGCCGCCGCCGUAA